CCUCGCAUUCUCAUAGCCUUGCAAUUUUCGAGGUCGCGAAGCCAUCCAUGACUGAAUAACUGCUCGUACCUCAGGUUAUACCUAGAAGGGCCAGCACUGCAGUACAUCAGCUCCGCCGUCGUUGCAAGAUAUGAAUGUAUGACAGUAUACCCUGAAGUUAGGCUGACUAAAGCUGAUGACUAGGCCAACAAGAGUCAGCCCAGACGAGACCUAAAACCCUGGGUUUUUUUUUUGACCUGUUCAUCUUCCCGGCAAAUUCCCGGCUCAUCGGGCAACUAAUUGGUCCACCGAAAAGUUGCUCCGCACUGUGCCGUCUCCGUGCUUCUUCUGCGACCCUACUCAGACCCCCAUUUCCUGACACUCCUGACAUACGCGAUCAGCAAUGUAGAAGGAUGCGCAGUCGUGCCUCGCUUAUCUCCAAUUUACCGUCGUCCUUCCACUCAAUCACGAGCCGGUCAGUGGUCAGCCGCUAGUACUCAAGUAGAAGAAGCAUGACUGGUUCGUCCAUAUGGUCUCUCAUGUGUGAUCCCGAACGUUAACAAAUGGCCAAUAAAAGAGACGGUAUUAUGUUUUGGGUCACGGAUUCUUCGACCAACCAGACGACCAUGUAACCGACUGAGAACGUGGGAACAAUGAAGUUAGAAGUCGGUGGUUUGUGGCCUAAUCAACGAAAAAAGAUAGGUAAAGACAAGAAAUAGAGAAAAGAAGAGCCUCUCCCUCGUGCCCUGCUCUAGUCCUACCUCUAAGCCAUGCCAUUUGGCUUGCGUUAGCAUGCUCUUGCACUCAUUGGCUGGUCAUGAUAGCUCAUACUCGCUGGCGAUUCACCCCAAUCGGUGACUGUACACCCUAGCCCGAAGUACCUUGAUCACUUCUGAGUUCACCAUGCAUGGCUACCGCUCCCUUCAUUCCUGUCCUUGUGCGUGCAUCUCAACACUGGCCCGGAAUAGCCGCCCCACAUUCUUCAGUAGCGUUUGAAAACGGAAGCAGCGGGCAGAUCAGCUCCAGGGAACUACCCUGUCGCCGUUCAGAAACUCUCAUUUCGACUAAGUAGCGCUUUCGACAUAAUCUCUUUUUACAGCGAGACUCGUUUUUCGUUAAGGGACGAGGUACGAGAGGCAAAGAGGAAUAAAUUUUAUCUAGCUAUGUUCUGCCUUUCGCCGGGCCGACCCAAGAAACUAGGCAAGAAAAGUAAAUCAUAAACUGACUGAUGCAAAUGGAGGAACGCUGUUACCGAUAACUUAUUUUGGCUAUCGCAGCUUACCACUGGCGGAGCCGCCAUUGAACGCAAAGUUCUCUACAACUGCAACAAGGCCGCGUGGAGGUAUAGGGCCAAGUGAUACACAUAUCUUGGAGAAAUGGACAAAAACAAGGACGGCUGCAGGACAAAGGCAGUUGCUAUGGUGAUAGCGUGAAAGUCAGGAAACGAAGCUGUCACUAACGCCAUGUCCAUACUCUAGCAGCAAAAGUCACUAUGAAGGCCCAAGCGGAACAACACCGAGGCUGUUGAUGUAAACAGUGGGCAGGUCCAGCCGGUGGAGACUAGAAAGAAUAACGGACAGUACUCCCAAUGCGUUGGCAUGUGCUAAAAGGGGUGAGUUGGCAAAUUUACUUCGAAUCGAAGCUGCCUUCGUCGCCAGUCAUUUAAUGCGUCGCGUCGGUGCUUAUUUAGGUACGAAGAAACGCUACCCUUUAUUUAUAAAA